AACGAACGCUGGCGGCAUACCUAACACAUGCAAGUCGAACGAGACCUUCGGGUCUAGUGGCGCACGGGUGCGUAACGCGUGGGAACCUGCCCUUAGGUUCGGAAUAACUCCCCGAAAGGGGUGCUAAUACCGGAUAAUGUCCUCGGACCAAAGAUUUAUCGCCUUUGGAUGGGCCCGCGUUGGAUUAGCUAGUUGGUAGGGUAAAAGCCUACCAAGGCGACGAUCCAUAGCUGGUCUGAGAGGAUGAUCAGCCACACUGGGACUGAGACACGGCCCAGACUCCUACAGGAGGCAGCAGUGGGGAAUAUUGGACAAUGGGCGAAAGCCUGAUCCAGCAAUGCCGCGUGAGUGAUGAAGGCCUUAGGGUUGUAAAGCUCUUUUACCCGGGAUGAUAAUGACAGUACCGGGAGAAUAAGCUCCGGCUAACUCCGUG
rnacentral:rRNA from 1 species